GUGUUCGAAAGGGAAACAGCCCAGACCACCAGCUAAGGUCCCAAAAUAUAUGUUAAGUGGAAAAGGAUGUGGCGUUGCCCAGACAACUAGGAUGUUGGCUUAGAAGCAGCCAUCAUUUAAAGAGUGCGUAAUAGCUCACUAGUCGAGUGACACUGCGCCGAAAAUGUACCGGGGCUAAACAUAUUACCGAAGCUGUGGAUUGUCCUUUGGACAAUGGUAGGAGAGCGUUCUAAGGGCGUUGAAGCAUGAUCGUAAGGACAUGUGGAGCGCUUAGAAGUGAGAAUGCCGGUGUGAGUAGCGAAAGACGGGUGAGAAUCCCGUCCACCGAUUGACUAAGGUUUCCAGAGGAAGGCUCGUCCGCUCUGGGUUAGUCGGGUCCUAAGCUGAGGCCGACAGGCGUAGGCGAUGGAUAACAGGUUGAUAUUCCUGUACCACCUAUAAUCGUUUUAAUCGAUGGGGGGACGCAGUAGGAUAGGCGAAGCGUGCGAUUGGAUUGCACGUCUAAGCAGUAAGGCUGAGUAUUAGGCAAAUCCGGUACUCGUUAAGGCUNAGCUGUGAUGGGGAGAAGACAUUGUGUCUUCGAGUCGUUGAUUUCACACUGCCGAGAAAAGCCUCUAGAUAGAAAAUAGGUGCCCGUACCGCAAACCGACACAGGUAGUCAAGAUGAGAAUUCUAAGGUGAGCGAGCGAACUCUCGUUAAGGAACUCGGCAAAAUGACCCCGUAACUUCGGGAGAAGGGGUGCUCUUUAGGGUUAACGCCCAGAAGAGCCGCAGUGAAUAGGCCCAAGCGACUGUUUAUCAAAAACACAGGUCUCUGCUAAACCGUAAGGUGAUGUAUAGGGGCUGACGCCUGCCCGGUGCUGGAAGGUUAAGAGGAGUGGUUAGCUUCUGCGAAGCUACGAAUCGAAGCCCCAGUAAACGGCGGCCGUAACUAUAACGGUCCUAAGGUAGCGAAAUUCCUUGUCGGGUAAGUUCCGACCCGCACGAAAGGCGUAACGAUUUGGGCACUGUCUCAACGAGAGACUCGGUGAAAUCAUAGUACCUGUGAAGAUGCAGGUUACCCGCGACAGGACGGAAAGACCCCGUGGAGCUUUACUGUAGCCUGAUAUUGAAAUUCGGCACAGCUUGUACAGGAUAGGUAGGAGCCUUUGAAACGUGAGCGCUAGCUUACGUGGAGGCGCUGGUGGGAUACUACCCUAGCUGUGUUGGCUUUCUAACCCGCACCACUNAUCGUGGUGGGAGACAGUGUCAGGCGGGCAGUUUGACUGGGGCGGUCGCCUCCUAAAAGGUAACGGAGGCGCUCAAAGGUUCCCUCAGAAUGGUUGGAAAUCAUUCAUAGAGUGUAAAGGCAUAAGGGAGCUUGACUGCGAGACCUACAAGUCGAGCAGGGUCGAAAGACGGACUUAGUGAUCCGGUGGUUCCGCAUGGAAGGGCCAUCGCUCAACGGAUAAAAGCUACCCCGGGGAUAACAGGCUUAUCUCCCCCAAGAGUUCACAUCGACGGGGAGGUUUGGCACCUCGAUGUCGGCUCAUCGCAUCCUGGGGCUGUAGUCGGUCCCAAGGGUUGGGCUGUUCGCCCAUUAAAGCGGUACGCGAGCUGGGUUCAGAACGUCGUGAGACAGUUCGGUCCCUAUCCGUCGUGGGCGUAGGAAAUUUGAGAGGAGCUGUCCUUAGUACGAGAGGACCGGGAUGGACAUACCUCUGGUGUACCAGUUGUCGUGCCAACGGCAUAGCUGGGUAGCUAUGUGUGGACGGGAUAAGUGCUGAAAGCAUCUAAGCAUGAAGCCCCCCUCAAGAUGAGAUUUCCCAACUUCGGUUAUAAGAUCCCUCAAAGAUGAUGAGGUUAAUAGGUUCGAGGUGGAAGCAUGGUGACAUGUGGAGCUGACGAAUACUAAUCGAUCGAAGACUUAAUCAA
rnacentral:rRNA from 1 species